rnacentral:tRNA from 1 species
AACACUGUGGCUGAUUAAAGCAAUAAACUGUAAAUUUAUUAAUGGGUAUUCCCCCUUUGUUG